rnacentral:rRNA from 1 species
UACGAAGGGGGCUAGCGUUGCUCGGAAUGACUGGGCGUAAAGGGCGCGUAGGCGGAGUGCUUUGUCAGGCGUGAAAUUCCAGGGCUUAACCUUGGGGCUGCGUUUGAGACGGGCAUUCUUGAGUAUGGAAGAGGGUCGUGGAAAUUCCCAGUGUAGAGGUGAAAAUUCGUAGAUAUUGGGAAGAACACCGGUGGCGAAGGCGGCGACCUGGUCCAUGACUGACGCUGAGGCGCGAAAGCGUGGGGGAGCAAACAGG